UAUAUUGCUAACUGCAUAUUAUUUCUUAUACAUUUGUAUUUAUUACAUGUAUUGAAUAUAUAGAACUUUCUCUCUUUGAACUACUCUGACAGGGUAAUGCUAAAUGUUCAUCCCUAAACUGUUUAAUUGUAUGAGCACUGACAACAGAUUUUAUGAGGCUUACUCUGUUUCUUUAUUCAGUAAACGUGAAGGAGCUGAGAGAAACAGCAGAGGAAACCAAAGGGCUGUCCAUUCUGAUGCCCAUGAUGAGACAUACACAGCUCUCAACCCCAGGAGCACAUCCUCUGAGUAUGACACUCUGCAGAAUGUGAGGAAUGUGAGUGACACCUACAUGCCUCUCCAG